rnacentral:rRNA from 1 species
GACGAACGCUGGCGGCGUGCUUAACACAUGCAAGUCGAACGAAGUGGCGAACGGGUGAGUAACGCGUAAUAAACCUGCCCUUCAAAGGGGGACAACAGUUGGAAACGACUGCUAUUACGCCAUACGGAAGGGGGGGAAUGCGUCUGAUUAGCUAGGUGGGGGGGUAACGGCCCACCAAGGCGAUGAACAGCAACCGGGCUGGGAGGAAUAACGGCCCCAUUGGGACUGGGACAACGCCCAGGCUCCCACCGGGCGCAGCAGUGGGGAAUCUUCCGCAAUGGACGAAAGUCUUACGGAACAACGCCCCCGGGUUUGUAACGGGCCUCGGGUUGGAAAUGUCUGUUAAUCGGGACGCGGUACCGGAAGAGAAAGCCACGGCUAACUACGUGCCAGCAGCCGCGGUAAUAC